UGGCGGCUGCUACACAUGCAGUCGAGCGGUAGCACAGAGAGCUUGCUCUCGGGUGACGAGCGGCGGAUGGGUUAGUCAUGUCUGGGAAACUGCCUGAUGGAGGGGGAUAACUACUGGAAACGGUAGCUAAUACCGCAUAACGUCGCAAGACCAAAGUGGGGGACCUUCGGGCCUCAUGCCAUCAGAUGUGCCCAGAUGGGAUUAGCUAGUAGGUGGGGUAACGGCUCACCUAGGCGACGAUCCCUAGCUGGUCUGAGAGGAUGACCAGCCACACUGGAACUGAGACACGGUCCAGACUCCUACGGGAGGCAGCAGUGGGGAAUAUUGCACAAUGGGCGCAAGCCUGAUGCAGCCAUGCCGCGUGUGUGAAGAAGGCCUUCGGGUUGUAAAGCACUUUCAGCGGGGAGGAAGGCGAUAAGGUUAAUAACCUUGUCGAUUGACGUUACCCGCAGAUGAAGCCCCGUGCUAACUCCGUGCCAGCAGCCGCGGUAAUACGGAGGGUGCAAGCGUUAAUCUGAAUUACUGGGCGUAAAGCGCACGCUGGCGGUCUGUCAA
rnacentral:rRNA from 1 species